GCUGAGCGCAUCGCCCGCCGGCCGGACCCAGCGCCCCGCCGCGGGGGCGGAGUAGCGCUAGCUGCCCGGCCCCGCCGAUGCGAGGGUCGCUCCUCAGCCAACGCUGCCCGGGGCUGUGUUCUCGGAUUGCUCCGUUCCCUCCCCCGCGCUGCACCCUCCGGGCCAGCCGAGAAGUUGCAACUCGUUGAGAUAUUCGUGCUUGAGGCAUAGAUUUGAGCAGGGGCUCCCCAGAGUCAGGACAACUGAGCACAAUACACCCGGGCGAGCUGCAGCAGCGACAGCGGCAGGACUGGAGAGACGGUGGCCGAGGCGUAGCUCCACGAGUGCCGGGGGCCGCAGGGCUCCCGGCCGUUCCCCAGGGAUCUGAGGACCAGGGAAGCGCAGCAGAUCGACGUGUCAGCCCCGAAAGUUCGUCUGUAGGCCCUGGGAGAAUCCCGUAUGAAGGUCCCGUGGCGUGAGCGGAGCUGAGACGUGGCACUGCGGCGCUGGCAGCCGGGGUGUGCAGGCAUCUGCCCCAGCCACUUCCCUGAGCAGAUACUUUGAAAAUGAAGAGGAAGGUAGAAGGGAGAGCGAAGAAUGCCUUGGAGAAUUCCAGCUGAAACAUCUGAGUAGAAACAAUAGGAAGUAUUAAUAACCCUGAUCUCUUAACUGAGUCAGAGUUUGGACUGAAAUUAUGAAAGCCACAAACCUAAGGGCCACUGGGAUGAGCAGAUGGCCAAAGCUCCUGCUGUGAGCACAGACUGAAAGAGUUGGGGCUGUGCAGACUGGAGAAGAGGAGGCUCCCAGGUGACCUUCUUGUGGCUUUCCAGCAUCUGAAGGGGGCUACAAAAAAGCUGGGGAGGGACUUUUUAGGCUCUCAGGGAGUGAGAGGACUGGGGGGAAUGGAGCAAAGAUGCAGGUGGGGAGAUUCAGAGUGGAGGUGAGGAGGAAAUUGUUGAGUAUGAGAGUGGUGAGAGGCUGGAGUGGGUUGCCCAGGGAGGUGGUUGAGGCCCCAUGGCUGGAGGUGCUUAAGGCCAUGCUGGAUGAGGCUGUGGCCAGCCUGAUCUAGGGUAAGUUCUCCCUGCCCAUGGUAGGGGGUGGAACUAGAUACUCCUUGUAGUCCCUUCCGACCUUGACUGAUUCUAUGAUUCUAUAAUUUAGGUAAAUUGGAGCAACUCCUUUGUGAGCAGUUUUGCUUUGUUUUAACCAUAUCUUAAAUCCAGCAAAAAAAAUAAUGCAAAUUAAAUUGAUGGAAUAAAAAAUGACUAAUGAGAAAAGGCUUUU